rnacentral:rRNA from 1 species
GAUGAACGCUGGCGGCGUGCCUAAUACAUGCCAGUCGAGCGAACAGACGAGGAGCUUACUCCUCUGACGUUAGCGGCGGACGGGUGAGUAACACGUGGAUAACCUACCUAUAAGACUGGGAUAACUUCGGGAAACCGGAGCUAAUACCGGAUAACAUGUUGAACCGCAUGGUUCAACAGUGAAAGACGGUCUUGCUGUCACUUAUAGAUGGAUCCGCGUCGCAUUAGCUAGUUGGUAAGGUAACGGCUUACCAAGGCAACGAUGCGUAGCCGACCUGAGAGGGUGAUCGGCCACACUGGAACUGAGACACGGUUCAGACUCCUACGGGAGGCAGCAGUAGGGAAUCUUCCGCAAUGGGCGAAAGCCUGACGGAGCAACGCCGCGUGAGUGAAGAAGGUCUUCGGAUCGUAAAACUCUGUUAUUAGGGAAGAACAAAUGUGUAAGUAACUAUGCACGUCUUGACGGUACCUAAUCAGAAAGCCACGGCUAACUACGUG